rnacentral:tRNA from 1 species
GCGCGAGUAGCUCAGUUGGUUAGAGCACGAAGCUUAUACCUUCGCGGCCGUUGGUUCGAAUCCAACCUCGCGCACCA